GCAGGCCUAAUACAUGCAAGUCGAACGCGAUUAAGGGGCUUGCUCCUUAUGAAAGUGGCGCACGGGUGCGUAACGCGUAUGCAACCUACCUUUAUCAGGGGGAUAGCCCGGAGAAAUCCGGAUUAACACCGCAUAAAAUCACAGGAUAGCAUUAUCCAAUGAUCAAAUAUUUAUAGGAUAAAGAUGGGCAUGCGUGUCAUUAGCUAGUUGGCGGGGUAACGGCCCACCAAGGCGACGAUGACUAGGGGAUCUGAGAGGAUGGCCCCCCACACUGGUACUGAGACACGGACCAGACUCCUACGGGAGGCAGCAGUAAGGAAUAUUGGUCAAUGGAGGCAACUCUGAACCAGCCAUGCCGCGUGCAGGAAGACUGCCCUAUGGGUUGUAAACUGCUUUUAUCCGGGAAUAAACCUACUUACGUGUAAGUAGCUGAAUGUACCGGAAGAAUAAGGAUCGGCUAACUCCGUGCCAGCAGCCGCGGUAAUACGGAGGAUCCAAGCGUUAUCCGGAUUUAUUGGGUUUAAAGGGUGCGUAGGCGGCCUGUUAAGUCAGGGGUGAAAGACGGUAGCUCAACUAUCGCAGUGCCCUUGAUACUGAUGGGCUUGAAUGGACUAGAGGUAGGCGGAAUGAGACAAGUAGCGGUGAAAUGCAUAGAUAUGUCUCAGAACACCGAUUGCGAAGGCAGCUUACUAUGGUCUUAUUGACGCUGAGGCACGAAAGCGUGGGGAUCAAACAGGAUUAGAUACCCUGGUAGUCCACGCCCUAAACGAUGAACACUCGCUGUUGGCGAUACACAGUCAGCGGCUAAGCGAAAGCGUUAAGUGUUCCACCUGGGGAGUACGCCCGCAAGGGUGAAACUCAAAGGAAUUGACGGGGGCCCGCACAAGCGGAGGAGCAUGUGGUUUAAUUCGAUGAUACGCGAGGAACCUUACCCGGGCUUGAAAGUUAGUGAAUGAUUUAGAGAUAGAUCAGUGAGCAAUCACACGAAACUAGGUGCUGCAUGGCUGUCGUCAGCUCGUGCCGUGAGGUGUUGGGUUAAGUCCCGCAACGAGCGCAACCCCUAUGUUUAGUUGCCAGCAUGUAAUGAUGGGGACUCUAAACAGACUGCCUGUGCAAACAGAGAGGAAGGAGGGGACGACGUCAAGUCAUCAUGGCCCUUACGUCCGGGGCUACACACGUGCUACAAUGGAUGGUACAGAGGGCAGCUACAUAGCAAUAUGAUGCGAAUCUCACAAAGCCAUUCACAGUUCGGAUUGGGGUCUGCAACUCGACCCCAUGAAGUUGGAUUCGCUAGUAAUCGCGUAUCAGCAAUGACGCGGUGAAUACGUUCCCGGGCCUUGUACACACCGCCCGUCAAGCCAUGGAAGCUGGGGGUACCUAAAGUAUGUAACCGCAAGGAGCGUCCUAGGGUAAAA
rnacentral:rRNA from 1 species